CAAAUUUCUUUCCAUUUAAGGCUUCAACAGCCUUAGCAGCAUCAUCAGCAUUCUCAAAAUUAACAAACCCAAAGCCCUUGGGUUUUCCAUCUGCAUCCCUCAUCACUACUGCACUAGUAAUAGUCCCGAACUCACCAAAAACAUUUUUUAACUCAUCAUCAGUUGUAGUGUCGGACAAAUUUUUCACAUACACGUUGUUGAAUUUUGUCAUGCCAGUUGUAGAUUCUCUUUCCUGUUUGCGAAGAAAAUGUCCAACAUACACUUGCUUAUCAUUCAUCAGCAUACCAUUUAACUUAUCUAUGGCACCUUGAGCAGAUUCUUCGUUGUCAAAUUGUACAAAACCAUAACCCUUUGACUGACCAUUAGAAUCAGUAGCUAUCUUGCAAGAAAGAAUAUUGCCAAAGCUUGAAAAGGUGUCGUGCAACGCUUUGUUGUCAAUUGACUUGUCCAAAUUCUGCAUAAAUAAUUCAAGCAAAUGCAUAAGAAAACUAUAAAGAUAACCAACACAAAUACCUAUUGCAGGUCCCUAUAAAUAAAUAGACGUGAAAAAGUGGAUUAAAACAGAAGUGAGCAUCAUUUAUUUGCCAACGUGUUAUAGAUCCAACUUAUAUACAUAAAGCAGUAACAAUGAUACCAAGACGUGCCCAGUAUAUGCCCCUACAAGUAUGACGGAGAAGCUAGCAGAUUUCAACAUAAAUGAACAUGAAAUGACAAAUCACAUUGAACAAGAUCAAGGUUCUAAUUAUAAUACCUUAAUAAAUAUAUUUGCUGAUCCACUCUUACGAAGAGUAGGAUCCCUAUGAGAAUACAUCACCCUAAUGGACUUCCCAUUGACGGGAGUGAAGUUCAACAUCUCCAUUGCCCUUGCAGCUGCAAAAUAAUAGAGAAAGAAUUAGAACAAAGAACCUCUGGAACAAAUAGCAAUUUGGUUAAUUGAAAAUACAGGCCAUAUCACAUCAUUUCAAGUUAACAAGAAUAUUAAACAUAACUAGCUGCAUCAAAACUAUGCAGCACCCUUGUUCAGACACAAAAAUUAGUAAAUGUACAAAUGUAACACCAUCAUCUACACUUGAAUUUCCAAAACUACCUCAUCACGAUGACUUAAACAUACUUAUGAUUAACAUCCUACAAGCAUAACCUAAGUUGCUCGGACUAUUCAAAUAUGUUGCCGUGCCCGUGCAGACUAUUUUUGGACAGGAACCUGAUGACAAUUUUGACGAGUCCGAGCAACACAGAGCAUAAUCACAUGAGUUAAAUUUUUUUGGUUUGAAACUAUUUACUUCACCAGCACAAGCAAAAGCCUGGAAAGCAAAUAGCCAUGGCCUAUGUCGCUCGGUCUCUUCAAGUAUGUCAAUGGGUGUGUAUCAGAUUCUCCAAAAGCAGUGUACUUUUGGAGAGUCUGACACAGGUGCAGCAUCGAAAGUGAGCCCGCUCAACUUAUACCAUGGUUUCUAGUUUGAUAGAUUUCUGCAGAAAUUAAUGAAAAGUCGUAUACGCAGCAACUGAAAAUGUGCAAGACUAUCUCACACUCAAAUUUCAGAGACAAUUGCAAGCUCACUCCCAUUGAGUACCAAGAUUAUCGACCUUCACAAAUGCACAAUUUCAAGUACAUUGGACACCACUCUACUGCUAGGGUGUCAGAUCUAAUAAUGUAAUCCCUCCGCCCAUUUGAGUUGUACAGAUUACUUAAAAGCAGUUGUCCAAAUUACUUGUCAAUUUACAAGUCAAGACAGAACAAAUUGCAUUUUUCCCAUUUUACCCUUACAAUUCUUCACGAAGUGUUAACAAGUUCGUAAAAUUCCAAAAAAGCUUCAUAAGGCGUAAAUUAGUAAAAACACCCUUCUUACUUAUCAUCUCUUAAUUAGCGUGUAAAAGGAAAAGUGGAUUAUGAAGCGGACGGAGUACUACAAACGGCGAAAGGCCAAUUUUUUCCCCAGAAACCCAUGACAGGUAAUUGAGCAUCUCCAAUCACGUCAAAAAUUAGUAAUCUAACCCAAUACAAGACAAAUAUUUUAUUCUUCAGAGGUAAAGUACAGCCACUCUUCUCCCUUCUAACUUAUGAUUUCUUAUUCAUGCGUGUAAACGGAAAAGUAGACAGCUACCAUGGGACAGGGGGAGUACUAAAAACAGUUCCAGAUCCCCCCCUCAAAUAAAAAAACACAUUCCAGGUAAUUAAAUAAACUUCUAAUCACAUCCAAAAUUAGUAAUUUCACAGAAUGUGGGGCAGUAGUUUUAUUAAUCCAAUGGACCAUUUUGCUUUUGAAAUUAAUUAAAGUUCUUAUUUCUUCUAGAUAAGAAAUCAUAAUAUUUAAUACUUUUAAAUUAAUUAAAAUUUUACCUUGUAUAAAAAGAACUUUUACAAAUAAAGACUAUUAUACAUGCAAAUAACACUAUCAAAAAUAUCAAAUUUCAUAAAAAAAAUUUAAAAAUGAACAGUACUAACCAUCCUGAGGACUACUGUAGUUAACAUAUCCAUAACCAAGAGAUCUCCUCGUACUAAGAUCUCUACAAACCCUAACCGAAACCACCUGUCCCACUUGAUUAAACAGAUCAUAAAGCUGCGAAUCCGUCACAUUAAAAUCCAAAUCCCCAACAUACAACGACGUCGAAGUAAACUGACUCGCUCCUCCUCCACCUUGUACCGCCGCCGCAGCACCACCAGUUACCGCCGCCGCAGGAGCAACCGCCGCCACUCCAUUUCCUCCGGUCACUGGACUCUGAUGUUGUACCUGAAUCUGCGCCAUAUUGGUUGAAUAACCUUCUAGAACCUUCCGGAACUAAUUUUUUUCCUUUUUUUUUUUUGAGUUGGAGUGAUUAGCUCUACUAUAAGGAACCCUAGAAAGAGUGAAAUGGAGGAAAAAGUAAGCGAAAAUGUAGGGAUUUUUUGGGGAUUUUUGAAGAUGUAAAAUAGUAUAAAGGGUAAAAUGGAGAUAAAGAGAAAAUAUGGUCGGAGAUCCGAGAGAAGCUGAAGAGAGAGAGAGAGAGAGAGAGAGAGGAGAGAGAAAUUUUUCGAUUUUUUAGGGUUGAGGAGGGCAGAGAAGACUGCACCGCAACAAAGGAGAAAUUUGGAGAAAAGGGAGGUUUAUAUAUAUCGGCGAUUUUCAGAAAACCCUAAUUUCGAAUUAAUCACAGCCGUUGGAUUUCAUGAUCAAAGGAACUUGUCGAUUUUAUUACGGACCGGGAGGUCUUGGAAACUAGACCGGUUUGAGAUUAAUGACGAGAAUGACCGGCUUUUGUUGCUUACGAGUCGAGGGUUGUUUGAUUAGUGUAUUAGGGAAAAAAAAAAAAAACACAAAUUUCAAUAGUUUUGAGUUUAAUUAUAGAAAAUUUUGAUAUUUUAUAUAAUUAUUAAAAAUUUCAAUUUGGACAUGUCAAGAUAUAUAGUAGCUUCCGACACAUCAAUGAAGAUACAUUUCUUUUUUUAAAGAUAUAUAAUUAGUUUUCGAUAUUUUUUUUUACUUUGAAUCUGUUGAGAUGCAUAAUUAGCUCUCAAUACAUUUAGCGAAUACACAUAAUUAUUUGAAAUGUUUGUAAUUAUUUGAUAAUGAAAUUUGUGUAAAUAUAAUCAAUAUAUAUAUAAAGGAGGAUUAUAGAUAUGCCUAUGUGGCACCUCUCUUUGGCCAAAGAUUCUAUUUAUCUUUUUUCUCAUUUUUUUAGAGUUCUUCUUUCAUUUUUUUCAAUUAUUUUAUUUUUAAAAUCAUUUUCAUAACUCACAUCUCUUUAUGUUCAUAAUAAAUUACACUCUUAAUUAAUAUUAAUAAAAUCCAUAACUCUAAAACCUUUUAUAUUCAUAACCUCCAAUUAUUUAAUUUUGCAUUAAAAAAUCUUAUGACAAUUAUUUCUUUAAAUAGCGUGAAACAAUGACAAAUGUCUCUUGAAAAAGUCUAACGAUAAUUGUUUCUUAUAAGGUAUGUGCAUUCUGAAAGCCAUACCUCUAAGCUUUAUUUAUUUUUUAGAGUAGAUUUCUUUUAUGCUAUGCAUAGUCUAUUAAUAAAAUUCGUAUAUUUUUAUAUUUUUUUAAGAGGUAUGUAUUACUUUAUUUGAACAAUUUUCUUUUAUGUUAUGUGCCUGAUAAUUAAUUUUUUGUAAUCUUGUAUUUCUCUUUAUCUUAAUCUCAUUAAAUUUUUUAUUGUAAAUGAAAAGAAGAUUACUAUCAUGACAGUUUGUUUUGUCCUUAUCUCACCGCGGGUAUGAGACAUAGCAUAUAGCAACCAAAAAAAAAGUCUCACCGGCCAAGAUAUAGUUCAAAGUGCAAUAUUUUUAUAUGUUCGAUUUAUUAAAUUUCAUAUCCAACUGCUUUUAGCACUUUUAGUUAACAAUUUAGUUGUCCUUUUUUUUUGUUUCAUGCAACACUUAGUUUUUUUUUUACUCUUUUAAGGCUCGAUUGACAUAUAAAUGAAGUAGGAUAUUGAGAUUACAAGAAUCUAACUAUUACUGUUUAAAAUUCUUUUGAGAGAAAUUAUAUUUAUAUGUGUGAUAGUUCUUCUUUCCUCUUCAAUUCACAAUAUAACAUUUCAAAAGUUUAUAUUAAUUUAGUUAACUAUUUUUUUGAUUUUUUUUCGUUGGUGAUGUCAACUUAUUAUGUGUGUGUCUAGACCAGAAUGUUUAUUUUCUAAAGUAAAAGCAAAGGAAUGAGGCAAACAUAUACGUGUGCUACUUAAGAAAGUAUCUAUGGAUCCUUCCGCAAUUAUGUACAUCAAUUUUAGUAAAUCUUUUGAUAAAAUAAGAGAAUAUAACAUUAGUUUAUAAUUUUUAAAUGACAUUUUAAUUCAUAAGAAAGUUGUUUAUUGAUUCGUAAAAUUGUAGUUUUUGAUUUUUCACAUUUUAUAGUUUAAAGUUAAAUGAAAAGGAUAAAAUAAGAUAAAAAAAAUAUGAGAUUCAUAUAAUUAGAUUUGUGUUAUAUAUAUAAAUAAUAAAAAAGUUAAAACCUUACUAAAACUAGGCAUGAAAAUAAAUUCAAUUUAAAAAAAAAUGAAAUUACUGUUUCACUUAUAAAAUAUAUUAUAUAAAAAUCAAACUUUUAGAAGACUGAAAAUACGAAUUUUCAAACUCUAAAUAUUUUGUUAAUUGUUUUUAUCUUCCUUUAUAAUUAAUGUAAUUGAUUUGUAUUAAGUAAAAUUUAUAUCUAUAUAUAAUUUAAAAAAAAAAAGAUCUACUCUUAAUAAUAUCAUUAACUUCGUGACUUUUAAAUUUUCAUAUUCAUAACCUCCAAUUAUUUAAUUAUAAAAUUUAAGAUAACUUAUGAUGUUCCUCCAUUUUCAUCUAUAUAAAGUCAUAAUAUUUUAUUUCAUGAGACCCAUACUCAAGAAUAUUCUUUUCGUUUUAUAUCUAAAAUAGUGUUCUUUAUAUUAUUAUUUAUAAUAUUAAAUUCAAGCUUAUUAAGAAGACAUUUGAAGGUUGAUUGUUCGUCAAAGAGGCUAUCGGACAAGAGCUUAAAAAAAUUGUAUAUUAAUUUUGUAUUUUUUUUUCCUGUAUUUUCUUAUGGUUAACGUAAAAAAAAAUUAAGUGUGUGUGUGUCAGUGUUCGUGAGUAUGUUCUCUACAUGUAACUUCUAUAUAUGAAUUUUCAUGAUUUUUUUAAUUAUUAUAAACUUUAUAGACUUUUGAAAGGCUGAUCGUUUGUCAAAAAGACUAUCGAACAAUAGCUUAAAAAUUAUGCACUAAUUUUGUAUUUCUUUUUUCGUUCAUUUUCUUAUGGUUAACGUAAAAAUAAUAGGUAUGUGCACGAGUGAGUGUUCAUGGUUAUGUUCUCUGUAUGUAACUUCUAUAAUAUGAACUUUCAUGAUUUUUUAAUUAUUCUAAAUUUUAUAGGCUUUUAAAGGUUGAUCGUUUGUCAAAGAGGCUAUCGAACAAGAGCUUAAAAAAUUGUACACUAAUUUUAUAUUUCUUUUUUCAUCUAUUUUCUCAUAAUUAAUCAAUACUAACUUCAUGAAACUUGACUUUUUUUCUUCUUUUCAAGGAGUACUACUAAUAUUCCUAUAAGAUUUCCAAUCCAUGCAUGCAUAUGCUACAAUUUUUCAUGUUUAAUUAAUUAUUGAGUCUUACAACAUUAAAAAGGGUAAAAAUGUAAAAUACAGUCAAAGGACAUUGCUUUCUAGCCGUUCGAUUUGAUGAUCAAAACAACCGGCGGGGUUUGAUUAGACCGGGUUUUUAAUGAGAUGGACCUUUUUUUUGUUAGUGUUAAUUUUGCUUAGGUAAAGCGGACACGUGCUUUCGAAAGGAAGAGAUUUCGGGCCACGUGCGCACUUUUAAGUAUGUCAUGUUUUACAGCUUGUUUUGUGGAUUAAUGUUACGUAUGUUUUUCUAUCCUAUUUCAUGUAUAUUUUUUUUAUUUUGAUAAAUAUAUAAUGUUUUGAAUAUAAGUAUACUGUUUAUUUUAUUUAUGACAUGAUAAAUUAGAAAAUUGAAAAAUAAAUUUGAUUGGUAAAAGGUAAAUGAGGAAAAAUAAUAAUAAUGUGAUUAUAUCAAAUUGGUUGUAUAAAUUGAAAAUUUUCAUUGUUAUAUCAUGUUAUGAUUAGGCUACAAUUUCAGCUUAUAUUUGUGAAAAAGGUUCAUUUAAUCUAUAUUUAUUGAAUUGAGUCACUAAUGUUUCAAAUGGAUAAAUAUGGAUUUCAUUCAUUUUAAAAGUUUAUAUAAAUAUGGACAAAUAGGUACUCAUUUAAACACAAAGAUCACCCACCAAUGCUUAAAAUUUCAUUUUUUUUCUUUUCUAGUAUCUUUUUUUCUUUUCUUUUUUUUUUUUCCCUUUAAUUUACUUUUUUGCUUUUUCAUUUUUUUAUUCGUUUCAUUAUAAUUUCUUUUUUCUUUCUCAUUUUUUCAUCUAUUUUUUUCUUUGUAUUUUUUUUCGUUUUCCCCUUUCUCGUUUUUAUUUGAUCAUUCAUAUUCGCUUGAGAUCUACACGGGUUAAUUAAUUUGAACUUCUAAUUAUUCCAUUUAGCCUAUACAAUUUAUAGCAUCUUUUAUCAAUUAAAUAUAAUCAUAGUCUCACUCCUUUAUUAUUAUUAUUUUCUAGCUUUUAUUUCUCUUUUUUUUUGUUUUUUCUUUCUUUUUCCUUUAAUUUACUAUUCUUUCUUUCUUUUUUCCUUUAAUUUACUUUUUUUAUUUUUUUCCACUUAUUUUUUUACUUGUUUCUUACACUUUUUUCUUUCUUCUAUUUCAACACUUUUAUCUUUUCAACUUCAAGCCUAGUGUAUUCCCACACAGUGGAAUUUGGGGAGGAUAGGGGAACUAAGAGCCAUAAGCUAUAAGAAAUAAGAAAACGAAAUCUAGAAUAUGGCACCCGCCUAGUAGUAACCUACACUCACAGACCAAGGCCACCCACCACACUCAGUCUCUCCUGACUAGCGGCUCGUACCUAUCGACACAGUCCUACAUUACUACCCCAGCUAAAUAGGGACUCUUCUAAUUACUUGCUACAAUCUAUGUACUCAUCCUAGACUUCUACCCUUAUCCGCGACCUCCAUACCUUCCUGUCUAAGGUCAUGUCCUCGGUAAGCUGAAACUGCUCCAUGUCAUGACUAAAACUGUUGUCUUAGCAGCCGUAACUACUAACUUAGCCUCCUUCUUUGCAACUCUGUAAACCUCCCUAUUCACCCGCUUCUCCUCUUCAUCUUUACUCUCAAUCAACAUGACAUACACCCCCUUCUUAAUAUCCACUUUCUUUUUAACUUUUUCAUUCCACCACCAGUCCCCCUUAUGCCUUCCUGCCUGCCCCCUCGAAACACCCAACACUUCUCUAGCAGUCUCCGUAAUGCAGCUGGUAGCCUUAUCCCAUCUAAUAUCCACGUCCCCCUUAUACUCCCACACCGCCAACCCUGCCACCUUCUUCUCUAUCUCCAGCGCGCUAACUGACGUCAAGCCACCCCACUUAAUUCUAGGUCGACCCUCCCCAACCCUUCUUUUUUUGCUCUUUUUGAUAAUCAAGUCCAUCACCAGAAGCAUGUGCUGAGUCGAAAGAUGCUCACUCGGAAUGACUUUACAGUCCUUACAUAAAACCCUAUCCGCCUUCCUAAGCUGUAUAAAGUCAAUCUGAGUCUUGGCUAUCACGCUUCUGAAAGUAAUCAGGUGAUCUUCCUUCUUCAGAAAGCUCGAAUUCACCACCACCAGCCCAAAAGUUGUCGCAAAAUCAACAGAGCAGCUCCUUUGCCAUUUCUAUCACCAAAAUUAAAACCUCCAUGCACAUCGUCAUAACUUUUCGGAAGAGCCCCAAUGUGCCCAUUAAAGUUUCCCGCAAUGACAAUCUCCUCUGAGCUAGGCACGCUUCUUACCACCUCGUCCAAUGCCUCCCAGAAUCUCACUUUCACCUCCUCUUCCAAACUCACUUGUGGUGCAUAAACACUACACACAUGCAGCAAACCCCCCCAAUGACCAACUUAAUCGUCAUCAGCCUAUCACUGAUCCUCUUAACCUCCACCACCUGCUCUCUAAUCUCCCAAUCCACUAAAAUUCCUACUUCAUUCCGACGUCUUUCACUCUCUGAGUACCACAACUUGGACCUAUCCACAUCCCUAGCCUUAGACCCUACCCACUUAGUCUCCUGAACACACGUAAUGUUAAUCCUCCUCUUCUUAAGAAUCUUCACCAGCUCUACGGACUUACCCUGAAGGGUCCCUAUGUUCCAAGACCCUACC
rnacentral:lncRNA from 1 species